GCUAGGUAUGGUGGCAUGCACCUGUAGUCCUAGCUACUCGGGAGGCUGAGGCAGUAGAAUCACUGAGCCCCAGAGUUCUGGGCUAUAGAGCACUAUGUCAAUCGGGUGUCUGCACUAAAUUUCAUGGCAAUAUAGUGACCUCCCAGGCGUGACGGACAAUCAGGUUGCCUAAGGAGGGGUGAACUGGCCCAGGUAGGACACAGAGAAGGUCGAAACUUCAGUGCUGAUCAGUGGUGGGAUUAGGCCUGUGAAUAGCCACUGCACUCCGGCCUGGGCAACAUGGCAAGACCCUGUCUCUU
ensembl:misc_RNA Metazoa_SRP Metazoan signal recognition particle RNA